UAUCAAUAUACUUAGUAAUCUUCGAAAUAUAUUACUUUGUACUUAAAAUGGAAGGAAAAUUUCUUUUCUACAAAUCCACAGAAAAAGUAGCAGCCAUUUUUUUCAUACUAACUCUCGUGCAAAUCAUGACCGGUAAAGCCGUUGGUAUGAGUUGUGGUAUAGACGGAGACUCCUGCCAAGCCACAGAUUAUCAUGUGUCGUGUUGUGUUGGAUUUCACUGCCUCGGAAGUAAAUGUAUAAAAGACAAGGGGAACUCAUGCGCAGAAGUCGGAGAUCAUUGUGGAAUUUUAAGUAAUCUAUGUUGCGGAUCACUUAGUUGUUCAGGCCACGUUUUUAAAGGCAUUUGUAAAUAGCAGUGAUAGUUGAUACCUAUCACAACACUCAUCUUAUAUGGUUCAUGGGGACUUACUUCUUUUGAGUUUGUUUAAUUAACUACUUUUAUGCAUGGGGGGUUUUCUUAACUUUGUUUGAUUUAAUUUGUGACAACUUCAUUUUUAUUUUUAUAUAUGUCGUAUGACUUUUUAUUAAUGAACUGAUUUAAUUAAUUACUUAAAAAAAAAUUUCUAUCUAUGUUAGUGUUUUAUAACAUAAAUCUUUGUAGUUUGUACCACGUUCAAAGUCGUCUAACCUUUCUGUCUUUCUUAUUUUAACCGCGAAUCCUUUUUUUAUAUUUUAUAUUUUUAGUAUUCACUCGAUCGUUUGUGUUCAAUAUUCUUAACUUUUCAACUCUUUAUUACGCGACCCUCUCAAAGCUAUAGUAUCUCUUAUACUCUUAUGCAAAGAUUUUUGAUAAGUGUUAUCUCCGCCAACUGAAGAUUUUAAUCCUGAACAUUCUUAUACUGUUGGUUAUUAAUUUGUUGCACAUCGAUUGUGUGGAGGAGUGGAUGCGGUUAAGCAAGUAC